rnacentral:rRNA from 1 species
GACGAACGCUGGCGGCGUGCCUAAUACAUGCAAGUCGAACGCAUUUUCUUUCACCGUAGCUUGCUACACCGAAAGAAAAUGAGUGGCGAACGGGUGAGUAACACGUGGGUAACCUGCCCAUCAGCGGGGGAUAACACUUGGAAACAGGUGCUAAUACCGCAUAAUUCCAUUUACCGCAUGGUAGAUGGAUGAAAGGCGCUUUUGCGUCACUGAUGGAUGGACCCGCGGUGCAUUAGCUAGUUGGUGGGGUAACGGCCUACCAAGGCUGCGAUGCAUAGCCGACCUGAGAGGGUGAUCGGCCACACUGGGACUGAGACACGGCCCAGACUCCUACGGGAGGCAGCAGUAGGGAAUCUUCGGCAAUGGACACAAGUCUGACCGAGCAACGCCGCGUGAGUGAAGAAGGUUUUCGGAUCGUAAAACUCUGUUGUUAGAGAAGAACAAGGAUGAGAGUGGAAAGUUCAUCCCUUGACGGUAUCUAACCAGAAAGCCACGGCUAACUACGUG